rnacentral:misc_RNA from 1 species
UUUUAGACAUGUUUUCAAUAAUUGAUAAACACGAAGUAUUCAAUUUUAAGGUGUUACUAUGGAGAUUCAACUUGGCGAUUGAUAGUCUGUUGAACAGAUGGGACUAUAUAGGUAAGAAUUGUCGAAUACCUCGCGAUGAAUUUUUAACGACAGUUCGCCUCGUUUUAAACUCUACAUUUUUUAUGUUCAACGGUGUUUGCUAUCAACAAACAUUCGGCACGCCCAUGGGCUCUCCUCUUUCGCCGAUUAUUGCUGAGAUCACGCUCCAAGAUUUGGAGUCAAGGGCCAUCGCGACUCUUCCUGUAGAUCUCCCAUUUUAUUUUAGAUAUGUUUACGACGUUGUGUUGGCGGCUCCCUCCUCAAUGCUUAGUACCAUUCUGGACACUUUCAACUCGUUCCACACAAGGUUGCAGUUUACUAUGGAGGAGAGUGCCGACAAUCGUUUGAAUUUCCUUGAUGUCACUAUCAUUUUGGAGGAUGGAUUGAUUCAUUUUAAUUGGUUUCAUAAACCGACUUUCUCGGGGAGAUACCUCCAUUUUGAGUCGCGACACCCCCUUUGCCAGAAGAUGGUCGGCUAUGUGCGUGCUGAGUAUUCGUCUCCGUUUCUGAUUCGUCUUCUCGAGUCCAAUGCAUCACUCUUUGCGCCUUGCACCGCUUAAAGGGCUACUUGCAUUUGGUUUCCUUCGAGUCGACUUGCCUUGACGAGUUCACGUUCACUCUUUAAGACUAUAAUCACUGAAGAAGGCUCGAACUGAGUCCGAAACGUUUGAGGUCAAUAAAGAAGAAAGAUCGUUUAAUGUAAUCGUUUCAUGGAUUAUUUUUACUUUAAAAACACGCCUUACAACUGCGUUGGCUCUUUAUGGCCUAUUAUUAUAUUUUAUUUUAA